GCAUGGUCGUGGGAUUGAUGCGGAGAUGCUCGUGCACGGCGACCUGCUUCGAGCCGUCGGUGGUGGUCGGAGUGGAGACGCGCCUCGGCCAGGGAGGCGGCAGAUCUGGGCCAGGAGUGGCCGCGCAAGCGGCGGCCGGGAUCUGCCGCGGCGGCCGGUGGGUGCGGUCUGCCCCUGCUGACCCCGGCGAGAUUCUGCAGGUGCGGCUGUGGGAGCGAGGGGUGGCGGCGCAGGCUGGUUCUGGGCUGCUUGCGCUCGGGUCAGCGGCUUGGUUGUGGGGAGCAUCACGCGGUGGUGCGCGCUUCUGUUGGAUGUGCGUCGAGGUGGCUCCCCGGCCAUGGGCUCCAGAGCUGUGUCCGUUGCUGGGUUGUCCACCAGGAGGUGGUGUGACAGCCGUUGCUUGCGGCAUCAGCAGCUUCUGGCCGUGCUGGUUGUGGAAGGAGUAAUGGAGUUGUUUGUCCCCGAUCAUGCGGAAGGUGGUAGCUGGACUGCGUGUCCUCGCCGUGCAGGGUGUUGGUGUUCUGUGUCGCUAUGAUCACGAUAGCAAGGUGUUGCGGCAGUGGCGGUGUGAUCCAGCACUGACAUUCUGGCCUCAAUUCUUCGCGGGGGUGGGGGUUGGCCAACGUUACGGAUGAAAAUCCUGCCCGUCUUCGGUUGGUGUUGGCGGCGAUGGCGCCCGUGGGUGUCGUUUCCCUCCUUGGAGGCGUCGCUUAGGUGUGUUGGCAUCUCCCCCGCUUGCUUGGGUUGUUGUCUCCGGGCGAAAGCCUAGGUCUUGGACCGGCGAUGACGGCGUCAUGGCGUCGUUCCUCUGUUGGGAGCAUCGUGGUUGGAGACAUGGCUUGGAGGUUCAGUGUUGUGGUUCUCCGGUGCAUGGCGCUGGUCCGAGUAGAGGUUCUUGGGCGCAAUGUAUGCCGACGUCGGUGACUCUAAGAUGGUGGCUUUCUCGGGAUCAACUUUAAUAUUUUUGUAUCGAUUCUGUAUGUGUAGAUUUGUAAAUGUAACAUCUCAAUGUCACCACACUAUGUUUUUUAUCGAUUCUGUACAUCAAUAUUUGUGUGUUUGUUUAUUUGUUUUCUAUGUGCUUCUAUUCUGAAUAAUGCUACUUGCCUGAUUGUCUAUUUUUCUAUUCUGAAUGUAGAGAGAGAGAGAGCAUCAUGACUGCCAUGGCUUGAACUAUUUUGCUGAGAUCCUGGAAAAAUUGAAUGGUAUAAUUCUGUUAAUUGGGAACCUUGGAAUUGAUUUUUCACCUGAAAAGGUUGAUCGAGGGUCGGAUAAUGGACGUAACACAGCUGCUAGAGAAGAGAUUAUAAUAUGGAAAAUAUUAGAUGAGGAGGAAGCUAAAGUUGGUAGAUCAAUUGAGCAAGAGUUCCAGACCCAGGUUACACCAAGAACAAGUGCCUCAGAUCAUUCAUUUUUCAGGCAGCGGAAGGAUCACUCCCCCUCCCCUCGCGUCGCCCACCUGAGGGCGACUCGAGGGUGCCCUCGCCCCGUCCGCCGUGACCACCCCUCUUCGGAUCUCACCGCCUCGACCAAAAUGUGAUUUGAGGCAAAUUCUGCGUUUGAGGCAAGGACAAUAAAAGUGAUGGAGCUUUUGGUCUUCAGCACCUUGAAAUGGAGGAUGCAAGCUGUUACUGCUUGCUCGUUUAUUGACUACUUCCUUUGCAAAUUCAAUGAUCAUGACACACCCUCCAUGCUUGCAUUCUCCUGCUCAACUGACCUCAUCCUGAGCACAACUAAGUGAGCUGAUUUUUUGGUGUUCAGACAUUCAGAGAUUGCUGGAAGUGUUGCACUUCCUUCAUUUGGGGAGCACAAGACUUCAGUUGUCGAAAUGGCUACAACUAAUUGCAAGUAUAUAAACAAGGGAGUGUGAUGUGACAGGAAAGAUCCUGAUGAAGUGCUUCCUUUAUGGAAUGCCUAUCUGAAGUUUGGACUAAGAGACAUGCUUUAAUUGGCUUAGUAAAAAAUACUUGCUAAAGAGAAAUAAGAUUCAAAGUAGAUGUUUUUAUUGUAGAUUAGGAUAUGUGUGUUCUGCCACCGGUUCGACUUCUCAUAUUAGAAGGCAAGCAGUUAGUUCAUAUCUUACUACUUUGCACUAUUGUAGAUGGAUGGUGAGGGAUUGAGAGGCUACUACUAUUAAUGUGCGUAAACUUUGCAUCUUUAGCUCUCUAAAUGAAACCGGUGAUGGUUAACCUGA
rnacentral:rRNA from 1 species